CGUUAGAGGGACGUGUUGCAUGUUUAUAUAGAGGGGCACCGAAUCCUUAGAUAGUGCAUACAUGUUUAAAGUACAUCUUGGAGAUCAAGGAAUAUAGAUAGAGAUAGAAUCCAAUCUAAUUACAACCGACAGGGAUAGAGCAGUUUUAAAAGUUUAAACUAGAGUCUAUCUUAUCUCUACUAGAUUCCUUGAGGUACAAGUCAUGUAAGCUGAACCUGGUUCUAUCAUGUUCGACAGGUAGGACACAUAGGUCAAGCCUAUGACCCUACCCUAGGUACAUAUCCCCAUCGGCGGGGUCAUUCGAGUCAGCUAUCAUGGUUCUAGGGGCUUUAGGACUGAAGGUGAUUUGAACUUAAAACUGUGAGACCCUGAACGAGUGUAGCUGUCUGAUCUACACGACCAUGUGGGUUUCUGAAGCGUGUGUGAUUCAUGGCUUCGUGACUCUGCCUGUUUGCGAGUUGCUACUAGUACCACCACAUCAUUUCUACCGGUAGAUCAUGGGUGUUAGCAUGUGCUGGUUCAAAAGUUACAUUCCUUGGUCAGACGAGAAGCAACACAUUUCUGCUGUCUCUGCCGAUGUUUGUCCGUACAAGCUUUUCCA